GUUUAUUUUAUAGUCUUGGUUGAGGUCCACUUUAUUAGCCAAGAAAUUAUCUAUUUAUUUGAUUUGCCUAAAUAGACAGUAAGGUCUACUAUUUUUAUUUUAUUGGAGCCAUAGUUUGAUUGAACCAUACUGAAGUUACAAGUAAUUUCUGUUUUUACAUCUGUAUAUUUGAUUUGCUUCAUGUUCUUGAUUGAGACAAGUGAGGAGGAACAUCGACUAUUUUGCUAGGCAAUCACAUCUAAGACAAAACAUCCACGGUUGUUGUAUGAGUAAAAGCUAUACAAAAUACUUUUAAGGAGGAAGCAAUAUAUGUGUUUUCUUUUCGCUUCCUUGCUCUUGCUUAGUCCAGUCUAUUUUAUUCACAAAGGAAUCAACUGAUAUUCUCUUUUCUUCGGCAGCCGGAAUUCGAAAUUUCAAGUGCUUUGAUGUAGAUAGUGAUUACAAUGUGGCCAGGCCUUGAGGAUUUUUUCAGGUUUUGUAACAGGAAGUUAUCUCUAAAAACUAUUUUUCAUGGUUGCUAUCAAAUGGUAUGUUAAUAUUCCCUUGGCUUCAUUACUUUGGUCCAGCUUUGUUUUUGUUAGAUCAAUCAUGUUGAGUUCGUGCAUUCUGUUGAUCUAACACGAUGAAAGUAUAGAGAUACGUUGACACACCAGCACAUUCCAUAGUCAUACAUGUUAAUGUUUGUAUCCCUUAUUGAUAUACUUGACCGUUCCGAAUUACCGAUAGUCAUACAAGUUAAUAUUAUUAUCCCUUAUUGAUAUACUCGACUGUUCAGAAUUACCGCUAAUCUUCAGCGGUUACCAAAUAAUUGGAGAAUCUGGAUCUUGGUGCUUGAUUUUGGCAUCUAUGGUACAUGGCUUGAUAUGUUUUUCUCGAUUCUACUUUAUGGUACAUGGCUUGAUGAAGGCAAUUCUACUUUAUGGUACAUGGCUUGAUAUGUUUUUCUCGAUUCUGUUUGUAACUGAUCUGUACUCCUCCAUAUCCACCAUGUUUGACAUAUUAAUUCUGUAAUUCUAUAAUCAUGCAUUAAGAAUGACAAGUGUAUCAUUAGUGUUGCUUCUACUGGUACAUAUUGUCAUAUUAGUUGAGUUAUCAACUGCUGCUAUCAUAUGCUUAGUAAAGUCCCUACCAUUGAAUGCUAAUUUAAAUACAACAACUCACCCACUGAUGAUGCCAUUGAGCCCUGUUCGUACUAAAAAUUGUUAUUUUCUCGCUCUAGGUGUCAGUUAACUAAAUCGACAACAAUCAGAGUUUAAAGUCCUCCUUGUUGCAACCGGCAAUGUCCGGUCCUGGCUGAAGGUAGGAGCUGCUUUAUGCAUUGUUCAUGUUGUGUUCUUUACCUUUUUUGUGAGUUUUGCACAAAAGUUUCUCCAGUUACAGGCUUAAAAGGAUCGCUUUGCAUGGAACAAUGUUCAGAACCUAAUAUAACUAAAUGUCAGUUGCCUGCUCAGUACACUCUUUCAAAGUUGUGAGCGGAUAAAUUGUGGUUAUAGAGAGUAGAGUUUGAUUCAUUGCCUGAUGUAGGAAGGUAGGAUCGAAGUGCUUUUUCAACUAUGGUAAUCGCCAUGGUUUUCUUUUUGGCUUCUUAUGCAUAAGAUCUAAUUUUAGUUUUAAGUGUUACCCAAACAGAGGAGUAUUUAUAUUUGCAGCAGCACUUUGUGGAUCAUAACGGGCAAAUAUUUUUGUAGAAGAUAAGUCAGGUUUAGAACCUUUGAGUACGACAAGUAAAAACUAAAAGUAAAUCCAUUGUAUAUAUUCAAGAGUGGUUAUAGCUCUUUUAUGAUUAGUUUCAAAUACCUAUGACUUUUUAAGCUGCACUUUUAAUAAGAAUUCACUGUUUUGUAAGAAAGUAUUUUGAUGGAAUUAUGUAUAUGGCUACUUGGUUCUGAUGUUUUCUGGAAUUGUGCAGACUUGGUAGUCACAAUGGAGUUCUGAGACAGGAAUCUUGAUCAUUUCUAACAAAUGAUAAUAGUAUGUUGUAUCACUUUAGUUGAUUCAGAUUUCAACCAUACUCUGUUUUGCUUUCUGCAAGGCCAGGAUUGUACCAUUCUUUUAGGAAGACAAGGUCUUCUCUCUUGUUGUUUGGAUGCACUGUGCACUUAUACAUGAGCAGUAUUAAUAUCAGUACUCUCCACUUUGUUAAGACCUGCUUGGUAUAAGUUAUUGGAGAUGUGUGGAAUACAUAUUCUGGUGAAAUCUUAUAUAUCUGAUUCUGUCAUAAUAAGCAUUGCAUAUAUUAUUCACAUAGGUCAUACAGUUUCUCAUAGGACUUCUAUACAAUACAUCUCAGUAUACUAUUACAUUUGAUCAAAAUAUUAAGCUGAGAUUCCUUUUCAAUUCUUCGACACAGGAGGAAUGUACAACACGGAGAUUCAUCUGUUCUAU
rnacentral:lncRNA from 1 species